UAUAUAUAUAUAUAUAUAUAUAUAUAUAUAUGUAUAUGUUUCUAAAAUAGAUAUUGUGUGGUAUAUAAUUAAUACUAAAAGUCAUUAUUCUGAUUUCUUUAUGAGAAGUUGGACAAAUAUUCUGAUAUGUCUAUAUCACACUGAUCGGAUUCCCAUGUGUAAUUACAUAACCUGUAGAACUGUAAUUAAUCUGUAACAAUACAUAUUUCACAUGUAGUUACACUGUUAUUACAUGAAUUGUUAAUGUGUAACUACACAGUUAUUAGAGACACUUAUUAUAAAGUGGGACCGAUUAAAAAAUAAUGGCUCACAAAUAUCAGUACUUACUACAGUAAUGCAUAUCUCAGCUAUUUAUUAAUUGAUACUAGUUAAGAUAUUAAUAAACAUUGCUAUGUUUUGUGAUGUUUAAAAUUGUUGUAAAUAAUAAUGAAUUGAAUAGUACAUUUUUUUGUAAUGAUAAAUAAUGUGUUUACUGGUGUUAAUUAAUAAUAAGUCGAGGCAUUCUGUUAUAAGUACUGUUAAUUAAUGGAUCAAAAUUCUGCCCCUGAUAAAAUGCUGUGUGUCAGGCCAGAGGGUCUCGGAGCCCGAGUUACUGUGUGCUGUUGUUUUGAGCCGCGCCCUAAAGCCUCGGCCUUGGAGGAGCCUUCUAUCUCUCCCCAGAGGAAACGACUCACAUGCGAGAGCUGGAAGCCUCUGUAGUUCACGUGCUGCACCGUGCCGUGCCUCCCCUCCUAUCAGGAGCAGAAUCUGCUCCUUCCUCCUCAGCCUACUAAUCUGCUUUUAACAAGAAAACAUUCUACUGGGCUCAGUUUUAUUUCAUGAUAAUUUAAUGUAACUUGUUUAAUGUGAUAAGCUCUUAGAGGGGUGCAGGGGUAAGCUUAUGUUUUUGUGUUUUAGGACCACUGAAAAAAAUUAAAACACCAGAUUUUGAGAAUAAAGUCGUAACAGAAAAGAAAAUUAUACAUUUUUUGAAGAAUAAAGUCAGAAUAUUUUGAAAAUAAUGUAAUUAUAUUGAGCAAAAAAAAAUCGUAAUAUUUUGAGAAUAAAGUCAUAACAUUUUGUGAAAAAAGUCAUAAUAUUUUUGAGAAUAUAUUCGCAAUAUUAAAAAUAAAGUACAAUUUUUUUUAAAAGAAUAAAGUCAGAAUAUCUAAAAAAACAUAUCAAUAUGUCUUGGUAGUAUGUCACUUAAUUCUUAAAAUAUUAUGACGUUAUUCUUUAUGGCAUUAUGAUUAUUCUUAAAAUAUUAUGGUUUUAUUCUUGAAAUGCCAUUGUGUACGUUUUUUUUUUCUCAAAAUUUUACAACUUUAUUUUUUUAAUAUUACGACUUUAUUCUCAAAGUAUAAUAAAAAGUGUUUUUUUUUUGUUUUUUUGCAGUAGCCCUUUUGCACUUUUGUCGCAAACUAGAAACCCACAUACAGCUUAUAAUAAAAACACAGUGUAAUAUACUUUGAGCUACACAUUUUUUAAACUGUAUAUUAAUUCAGUCUACUGGCGUCUCUGGAAGCGUAUUGGCUCUGAUCUGCUUGUCUGCUCUGAUAAACACGUCACUAAUGGCUGUCACUGAUAUUAAGAUAUCCUCCUCCUCAUUAGCAUUAUCUGAUACUGUACUGUUUCUGACAGACUGUGUGACUUUCUGACACGUUUCCCUGUUUUUAUGACUCUUUUAUGACUGUACAAAUUGUGAAAUUUUCAGAUGAACUGUAUUUCUGAUGUUUUGUAUAUAAGAACUGUAUAAAUACAAUAAACUGUGUUAUUGUUGAGCGGCA